CUGUGAGGUAUGCUGGAGGUAUCAGAAGUGCGAAUGCUGACAUAAGUAACGAUAAAGCGGGUGAAAAGCCCGCUCGCCGGAAGACCAAGGGUUCCUGUCCAACGUUAAUCGGGGCAGGGUGAGUCGACCCCUAAGGCGAGGCCGAAAGGCGUAGUCGAUGGGAAACAGGUUAAUAUUCCUGUACUUGGUGUUACUGCGAAGGGGGGACGGAGAAGGCUAUGUUGGCCGGGCGACGGUUGUCCCGGUUUAAGCGUGUAGGCUGGUUUUCCAGGCAAAUCCGGAAAAUCAAGGCUGAGGCGUGAUGACGAGGCACUACGGUGCUGAAGCAACAAAUGCCCUGCUUCCAGGAAAAGCCUCUAAGCAUCAGGUAACAUCAAAUCGUACCCCAAACCGACACAGGUGGUCAGGUAGAGAAUACCAAGGCGCUUGAGAGAACUCGGGUGAAGGAACUAGGCAAAAUGGUGCCGUAACUUCGGGAGAAGGCACGCUGAUAUGUAGGUGAAGCGACUUGCUCGUGGAGCUGAAAUCAGUCGAAGAUACCAGCUGGCUGCAACUGUUUAUUAAAAACACAGCACUGUGCAAACACGAAAGUGGACGUAUACGGUGUGACGCCUGCCCGGUGCCGGAA
rnacentral:rRNA from 1 species